UACGUAGGUGGCAAGCGUUUGUCCGGAUUUACUGGGCGUAAAGAGCGCGCAGGCGGUCGAUCAAGUCGCGUGUGAAAGCCCUCGGCUCAACCGAGGAAGUGCGUUCGAAACUGCAGAGCUUGAGUGCCGGAGAGGGUGGCGGAAUUCCCCAAGUAGAGGUGAAAUUCGUAGAUAUGGGGGAGGAACACCGGUGGCGAAGGCGGCCACCUGGGUAGAUACUGACGCUGAGGUGCGAAAGCGUGGGGAGCAAACAGG
rnacentral:rRNA from 1 species